CGUAGGGUGCGAGCGUUGUCCGGAAUUAUUGGGCGUAAAGAGCUCGUAGGCGGCUGGUCGCGUCGGAUGUGAAAGCCCGGGGCUUAACUCCGGGUCUGCAUUCGAUACGGGCAGGCUAGAGUUCGGUAGGGGAGAUCGGAAUUCCUGGUGUAGCGGUGAAAUGCGCAGAUAUCAGGAGGAACACCGGUGGCGAAGGCGGAUCUCUGGGCCGAUACUGACGCUGAGGAGCGAAAGCGUGGGGAGCGAACAGG
rnacentral:rRNA from 1 species